GCACUCACUGCACUGACAUUGCAAUUUAUUGCUGAAAACUGGAUACCAUGAGUGGCUGAUUCACUGUCCAGCAAAUUGUUAAUGAUUUCUUAUGUCUAUUCUUCUGUAUGUGUCUCUAGGUCCACGUCACUGUCUUUCUGAGAAAUACUUAAGCCUUGGAUUCAGAUGUCUCUAUCGCCUUCCCAGCAUGCACACUUUGAUGAAGCCAGCUGACAUAUUAGAGUUUAUGUGACAAGGGAGCUUUCAGCCCACAGCCAGGGAGAAACCAAGAUCCUCAGCACAGCAACCCAGGAGGAAAGGAAACCUGCCAAAGCAUUGUGGGCUUGCAAGCAAAGCUUUCCCCCAAUAGAGCCCUUAGAGGAGUCCACCCUGCCUUUGUCAACACCUUAACUGCAGCCUUUUGGGAGACCCUGAAGCAGAGGACCACAGGAGUUUCUGCACCACGCAUGCCUUCUUCGUGCAGUUGGUAUAAGAACCCAAAGAAAGAAGAGAUGGAAAAGCACUUCAGUCAAACCCUGCACCCGUUAAACCAGAGCCUGCCUGAGAAGUCUCUGCUGCAGUUACGUGUUUACACUGAGAGACAAUCUUUGGUUCACUGGAUCAGCGAGCUCACUCCCAGAAAGCCCAGGAAAUGACAGACCUCCACCACUUCGGAUAAUCUGGCAGUCUGUGGCCCAGGACUCUGACUCCCUUCCCUCUACAGAUGCCUGGGCUGAAUAAGCAGAUGGGGAAUGAGAGAAGAGACACCUGAGCCACCAACUCCUAGCUCUACCCUUCCCAAGACUGAAAGAUAAUAGAUGAUAUCUUCAGAAAAUGAGGAGUGGGGUGUGGGAACUCAACAAGGGGGUGGCCAACUUUUUCCAUACAGGUCCGGAUAAUAAAUGUUUAGGCUUUCUGGGCUGCA
rnacentral:lncRNA from 13 species